rnacentral:rRNA from 1 species
AGUGAACGCUGGCGGUAGGCCUAACACAUGCAAGUCGAACGGCAGCACAGUAAGAGCUUGCUCUUACGGGUGGCGAGUGGCGGACGGGUGAGGAAUACAUCGCAAUCUACUUUUUCGUGGGGGAUAACGUAGGGAAACUUACGCUAAUACCGCUUACGACCUACGGGUGAAAGCAGCGGACCUUCGGCCCUUGCGCGAUUGAAUGAGCCGAUGUCGGAUUAGCUAGUUGGCGGGGUAAAGGCCCACCAAGGCGACGAUCCGUAGCUGGUCUGAGAGGAUGAUCAGCCACACUGGAACUGAGACACGGUCCAGACUCCUACGGGAGGCAGCAGUGGGGAAUAUUGGACAAUGGGCGCAAGCCUGAUCCAGCCAUACCGCGUGGGUGAAGAAGGCCUUCGGGUUGUAAAGCCCUUUUGUUGGGAAAGAAAAGCAGCAGGUUAAUACCCCGCUGUUCUGACGGUACCAAAAGAAUAAGCACCGGCUAACUUCGUG